GGGUUGUGAGGUUAAGCGACUAAGCGUACACGGUGGAUGCCCUGGCAGUCAGAGGCGAUGAAGGACGUGCUAAUCUGCGAAAAGCGUCGGUAAGGUGAUAUGAACCGUUAUAACCGGCGAUGUCCGAAUGGGGAAACCCAGUGUGAUUCGUCACACUAUCGUUAACUGAAUACAUAGGUUAACGAGGCGAACCGGGGGAACUGAAACAUCUAAGUACCCCGAGGAAAAGAAAUCAACCGAGAUUCCCCCAGUAGCGGCGAGCGAACGGGGAGCAGCCCAGAGUCUGAAUCAGCUUGUGUGUUAGUGGAACGGUCUGGAAAGUCCGACGGUACAGGGUGAUAGUCCCGUACACCAAAAUGCACAGGUUGUGAACUCGAAGAGUAGGGCGGGACACGUGGUAUCCUGUCUGAAUAUGGGGGGACCAUCCUCCAAGGCUAAAUACUCCUGACUGACCGAUAGUGAACCAGUACCGUGAGGGAAAGGCGAAAAGAACCCCGGCGAGGGGAGUGAAAAAGAACCUGAAACCGUGUACGUACAAGCAGUGGGAGCACCUUCGGGUGUGACUGCGUACCUUUUGUAUAAUGGGUCAGCGACUUAUAUUCUGUAGCAAGGUUAACCGUAUAGGGGAGCCGCAGGGAAACCGAGUCUUAACUGGGCGUUAAGUUGCAGGGUAUAGACCCGAAACCCGGUGAUCUAGCCAUGGGCAGGUUGAAGGUUGGGUAACACUAACUGGAGGACCGAACCGACUAAUGUUGAAAAAUUAGCGGAUGACUUGUGGCUGGGGGUGAAAGGCCAAUCAAACCGGGAGAUAGCUGGUUCUCCCCGAAAGCUAUUUAGGUAGCGCCUCGUGAACUCAUCUUCGGGGGUAGAGCACUGUUUCGGCUAGGGGGUCAUCCCGACUUACCAACCCGAUGCAAACUACGAAUACCGAAGAAUGUUAUCACGGGAGACACACGGCGGGUGCUAACGUCCGUCGUGAAGAGGGAAACAACCCAGACCGCCAGCUAAGGUCCCAAAGUCAUGGUUAAGUGGGAAACGAUGUGGGAAGGCACAGACAGCCAGGAUGUUGGCUUAGAAGCAGCCAUCAUUUAAAGAAAGCGUAAUAGCUCACUGGUCGAGUCGGCCUGCGCGGAAGAUGUAACGGGGCUAAACCAUGCACCGAAGCUGCGGCAGCGACACUAUGUGUUGUUGGGUAGGGGAGCGUUCUGUAAGCCUGCGAAGGUGACCUGUGAGGGUUGCUGGAGGUAUCAGAAGUGCGAAUGCUGACAUAAGUAACGAUAAAGCGGGUGAAAAGCCCGCUCGCCGGAAGACCAAGGGUUCCUGUCCAACGUUAAUCGGGGCAGGGUGAGUCGACCCCUAAGGCGAGGCCGAAAGGCGUAGUCGAUGGGAAACAGGUUAAUAUUCCUGUACUUGGUGUUACUGCGAAGGGGGGACGGAGAAGGCUAUGUUAGCCGGGCGACGGUUGUCCCGGUUUAAGCAUGUAGGCUGGUUGUCCAGGCAAAUCCGGAUAAUCAAGGCUGAGGUGUGAUGACGAGGCACUACGGUGCUGAAGUAACAAAUGCCCUGCUUCCAGGAAAAGCCUCUAAGCAUCAGGUAACAUCAAAUCGUACCCCAAACCGACACAGGUGGUCAGGUAGAGAAUACCAAGGCGCUUGAGAGAACUCGGGUGAAGGAACUAGGCAAAAUGGUGCCGUAACUUCGGGAGAAGGCACGCUGGUGUGUAGGUGAAGCCCCUGCGGGUGGAGCUGAGACCAGUCGAAGAUACCAGCUGGCUGCAACUGUUUAUUAAAAACACAGCACUGUGCAAACACGAAAGUGGACGUAUACGGUGUGACGCCUGCCCGGUGCCGGAAGGUUAAUUGAUGGGGUUAUCCGUAAGGAGAAGCUCUUGAUCGAAGCCCCGGUAAACGGCGGCCGUAACUAUAACGGUCCUAAGGUAGCGAAAUUCCUUGUCGGGUAAGUUCCGACCUGCACGAAUGGCGUAAUGAUGGCCAGGCUGUCUCCACCCGAGACUCAGUGAAAUUGAACUCGCUGUGAAGAUGCAGUGUACCCGCGGCAAGACGGAAAGACCCCGUGAACCUUUACUAUAGCUUGACACUGAACAUUGAGCCUUGAUGUGUAGGAUAGGUGGGAGGCUUUGAAGCGUGGACGCCAGUCUGCGUGGAGCCAACCUUGAAAUACCACCCUUUAAUGUUUGAUGUUCUAACGUUGGCCCCUGACCGGGGUUGCGGACAGUGUCUGGUGGGUAGUUUGACUGGGGCGGUCUCCUCCCAAAGCGUAACGGAGGAGCACGAAGGUUAGCUAAUCCUGGUCGGACAUCAGGAGGUUAGUGCAAUGGCAUAAGCUAGCUUGACUGCGAGCGUGACGGCGCGAGCAGGUGCGAAAGCAGGUCAUAGUGAUCCGGUGGUUCUGAAUGGAAGGGCCAUCGCUCAACGGAUAAAAGGUACUCCGGGGAUAACAGGCUGAUACCGCCCAAGAGUUCAUAUCGACGGCGGUGUUUGGCACCUCGAUGUCGGCUCAUCACAUCCUGGGGCUGAAGUAGGUCCCAAGGGUAUGGCUGUUCGCCAUUUAAAGUGGUACGCGAGCUGGGUUUAGAACGUCGUGAGACAGUUCGGUCCCUAUCUGCCGUGGGCGCUGGAGAAUUGAGGGGGGCUGCUCCUAGUACGAGAGGACCGGAGUGGACGCAUCACUGGUGUUCGGGUUGUCAUGCCAAUGGCACUGCCCGGUAGCUAAAUGCGGAAGAGAUAAGUGCUGAAAGCAUCUAAGCACGAAACUUGCCCCGAGAUGAGUUCUCCCUGAGACUAUAAGUCUCCUGAAGGAACGUUAAAGACGAUGACGUUGAUAGGCCGGGUGUGUAAGCGCAGCGAUGCGUUGAGCUAACCGGUACUAAUGAACCGUGAGGCUUAACCUUACAACGCCGAAG
rnacentral:rRNA from 1 species